GUGCCUCAAAUUUGUUUGGUUGUUUGGACAGGUUCAUGAAUAUUAGCUACCUGUCUCUGUCCUCCCAGCAAUUUUUUGAAUACUGUUGAUUUCUCAGACUGGUCAGAGACAUCAAAAACAUUACUUAGAUAUUGAAGUGCUGGAAACCAAGGCUCUGCAAAGGCAUUUGUCUUGUAUUUGUGCUGUCUACAGUGUUUUCUGUUACAGGCCUGAAAUUUUCUUUUGCAAUGUCAGAUAAAAGUGCUUCUCCCUGCAUUACCUACACUGCUGCCUCUGUGUCUAUUUCUCUGAUCUCCAUCCCACAAGAAACUGGAACACUGAUCCACAGAGCGAGUUAAAUGUAUCUUCUGUACAUUCAUUCCCCUGUUUGUUUCGGUUUAUUUUACAGCCUUGUCACUAUUUCUCAUGUCACUGCUGGAUUCCUGCACAUCUAGGGAUGUGUCACCUAAUCGUCUUGGCCCAUAGAACUUCAGCCACGUUACUUGUCUGGCCAGUGUGAACCCACUUUCUGGCUCUGUCCCAGAGCUGUGGCUGGGGUUUUGGCAGAGGCAGAUUACUCAUGUAUUAGGCUGGGCAGAGCCUAACACAUCCCUAAGAACGUGCUCUCUGAGCUCAGGGAAGCAGUGCUCACCUGUUGGCAGGCUGCUAGUGAGCUCCCUGUGCUUUACAGGAACAAAAUGAAAGUGCUGUGAGAGGACAGACAAUGAGGGCAUCAGCUCACAUACACUACACUUGAGGAACUUCAGAAAAAUUAGUUUGGACCUUCACCCCAUGCUCUGCUACAGUGUCAUGGCUGUGAGAUACUGAAAGUCUGGAGUUUUCAGGAAUGUAUCCCCACCAAGUCUCUCUUUUCCAUGCCAUGUCCAUCGUAAUUUCACACUGGAAGGGGUAAAGCUGCACAAGUGCUACUAUAGUGACCAGAGGAAGGUACAAUUGGAAGGUACAAUUCAAUCCAAAUUUGGCAUUUCAAAAGAGUUGAAGAAACACUGUGUGGCACUUCUGAGGCCAAAUUUGGUAUGUGCAGCCACAGCUCUAUAGCUAGUUCUCUGAAAGUGUUUGCAAUAAAUAAUCUAAUUUUAAUUAACAUGGGAUAUAAUAACUCUUAUUAAAUCUAAAUUGAAUGCAUGUUAGGGAACUUAAAUUUGUAGUAUUGCCCAAUACAAACCUUCAAAAGUGGCAGCUUCAAUACCAUUACUCCAAGUUUUAUAACUAUGUUAAAAAUGACCUGGUAAAUUACUCUCCUGGGUAAUGUGUAAUGCCAUAAAAAUUAAACACUAAUUUAUUACUUAAAUAAAAGACAUCAGAGAUUGUCAGGGUGUUAAACAUCAGGGCUGUCUUGUUUUCCAAACCAUAUUUUAUGGCAGACACAGCUGUUACUUCUUAAAUGGAGCUCAAAUAAACAACCUUUUUUUUUUCUAAAUGAAGGCAAGCAAAACCCAGGAUGGGCUACUGGCUCUGAGCGUGGGAUUUCAAACUUUUUUCCAACAUGGAUCCCGUGGUAGUGAAGUGACUAUAUCUAUUGCUGCCACUGGUGAUGGAAAAUAUCAUAUCUUCAGUAAAUAAACCCAUUAUUUAUAUAUAUCACCCCCUGGGACCAGGGGUUUAACAAAACACCCUGUCUGCAGUGUUAUUGCUUUCAGUUCACAGGCUGCUCUUCUUUAUCGCUGCUGCUUUGUGCCAGCUUUGCUAGCCAGAUAUGAGACUGAUAAUAACCUUUCUAAAGAUUCAAUUGCAACUUUCCCAUUGACAUAAAAUGAAGCACAAGCAGGAAUGACACCACUUUCUCUUUGAUGGCUGUUUUAUUUUAUAUCCUCCUCCUAGAGUUUGUGCAGAACUGUGGCAGUGCAAGCAAUCAAUCUUCCCUCAACUCUGAGUUUCAGCAGGAAGAAUAAAGCAUACAAUACACAGUAUUGCUGCAAAAUAUUAAUUUCUUCCCAAAGUGCUGGCACUUAAUAAUAAUAAUAAUACACAAUUAGCUCGAUUUUCAAAAGGAUUAGAAGGGCGAGGUAGAUCUCAGUGGUGAAUUUUCAUUUUCUUGUAUGAUCACUCAACUUCGACACCUUGCAGAAUCCUAGUUUCUCUCCUCUGGCACACACGUCUGGAUACCCGAGCAAUGCCGUCUCCUUAAAAAACCCCAGCAGAUGGCAGCAGGGCACAAGCUUUGGCGGAAAGGAGACUCGGGAGUUUUACCUUUGUAUCUAAAGAAGUGUGAACGGAUAGUUCAGCUUUCUUAGAGGUUUGUUUUUGGGUUUUUUUUUUUGUUUUUUUUUCCCCCCCCUACUCCCUUCCCUCCCCUGUGUGCAGAGCAGAGGCAUGGGUAAUUCACUGUCCUCUCCGAGUUUCAGGCAUCCCGCAUCUCCAGUUACUCAGGGACUCUAUGUGCCCCUCUUGCUUUGCAGUUGCCGUGUCGGUCUUGCAUAAGGAGGGCAGCAAAGAAAAGCCAGGUGGCUUCUCAAGGGGUCUCAGCCUUGUGUCCCCUCGGCUUUCUUUGGAGCAGUUCUCCCUUUGUGAGGCUGCCUGCAGCUCAGCCUCAUGUCCCACUGCAGCGACUUUCCAUCCUUCCCGAGCCCCUGUGGCCCUUCGGAGAGCUGCUUAUCAGUCUGUGCGCUUCAGAAACUAAAUCCUGCUCUCCUCGGUGCUGGCAGCCAGGCAGUAGCUGCCUUUUUAAAGGGAAGAGCUAUUCCUAAAAACUACUAGCUGCACGUUUUGGAGCGGAGGAACUGGGCACAGCGAGUUCAAAGCCUGCUGUGAUGCCUGUUGUCACUAUCCUGACACUAAUCACCAGAAAGCUUUACUCCUCACCCCUGACAUGGCUGGGUAAUCGUGUGCCACUGGAAUCGACAGGUUGCAGUGAGCCAAUAAAGGCAGAGGGUCUGACCUACAGCACGGGGUGAGAGCUGCUCUGCCAUCAUCUCCCAACACUUCUUGCUCUGCCAGUAAUGCACCCUGACUGUCCACAUCCCAGCCUCUGGCACGGUGCCCCAAGUCAGUGCUGGGACUCAGUAAUCAUUCUCCAGGCUUCCUUCAAUAUUUGCUUUCACUCUGCCUUCCUGGUGCCUUCCUUCUGCUGUGUCUGGAGCCACGUUGUAACUUCUCUGUGACACAGACCGGCUACAAUCCCUGCAAUGCACUCGUGCUUGCUGCCCCACAACAACCGCAAACCCCAGUAAAGCAAGAGAGUUUCUGCUUCUUUUGUAAAAUGCACAGGUUGGUUUCAUAAGCAAGGACAAAAAGAUCAUCUAAGGCUGCAAAAGAAUAAUAGGGUCCGUGGCAGGUGAAUAGGAGACAGCUGGAGGGGAAAGCGGCUGGCUGGAGCAGCAGGUGGUAUACUUCAACAGCCUGCUCUCUUCCAGGAGCAAAAGGAAGAGCUCCAGGCAGAUUUUGGCUCUCAGAUUCAUAUUCUGCUUUCUGGGUUUCUCCACUGGUAGUACAGAAAUAUGCUGUCUGGAGAUUGUCUCUGCAUGAGUCAGCAUGAAUAGCAGGGAUUUCUGUCCCUGGGUGCAUGCUGUGCCACUAGGGCUCUGUGCGCCAGGCUGAUGUGGGAGCAAGAGACGCUCUGAUAAAUUGUACCUGACAUAGCAUCUCCUCAGAUAAUAUGAACUGGAAGACCAAAGCUCAAGAGGUCUGUAUGGACCACAAGAAGAAUUCAAAGAUAAAAUACAGCCUUAUGGCUUGAUGGAAGUAGUGUUUAUUUCUUCUGUAAAGCUCCGUUUCUUGAUACCAACCACAAAUGGAAUAAAAAUCAGCCUUUACAUUUUUAUCACAACAUCUGCAUGACUUUUCUGCACUACAUUAAUUUUCACAUUUCUUUAGUAGUCUCCAUGUUCUGUGCUUUUCAGUAUUUCCCUAGAGGCAAAAAUGCAAUAGAGCAACCACUUGCGGGAGGAAAGCUCCAGUCUUUGGAAGGCAUUCAGCUGCACACCUUCUUAGUGGUGCUGGACACAGAAUAGAUAACUCAAGGACAUGAAAAAGGACUAUUCAUCCCAAGUUUUUAGACACUCUAGAAUAUCCUAGGCAACUUUCUUUCUUUCACAACUCUGGAGAUCUGUACAUAUUCAAAAAACAUAAAAAACAGGAGCAAGAAAGGUAUGAAUCACACGUCUGAUGUUUUCAUCAUUAUCCAUCGGUGAUUUCAAAUUGAUAGUGAUUACUUGAAAACUUUUGUAUAAAUAGAAGUUUGCAAUAAAUAAAAAAAAAAACCAGUCUUUCAGACAUGUUACUUUGUAAUUUUUCAAUCACACCUGGCAUAUUUAUCAGCUUCAAAGAUGUGUACAGUACACUGCUUCUCUAUGAACAGGGGAAUCAAGAAUAAAAUCAUCAAACCUACAAGCCUGAAUAUGUUUCCCUAAUUCCUAUUCUCAGUUAUUUAAGGAAGUAGACAAUUUAAUAAAAAUUAAGUGGUUGAAAAUACUCCUGAAGAACAGGUUUAGUAGUCUGGUUUUCCUGGAUUUCAAUUCUAGUAAACGUGAUAGGUUUCUGUUAUGUUUUGUUUUAACAUGCUGAAUUAAGUUGAGAAUUAUAUUUACAAAUACUAAGUAGCAAAACAUUUGUACCUCACAGGGAGAUGCAUGGAGACCUCUUAAUGAUUCACAGAUCCAUAAAACCUCUGAAAAUUGUACCUUCCCAAAUGUGCAGUAUGGUUUGAUGAGUGCAGUGGCAGGAUGAGUUGGUUUUUAUUUAGCUUUGUUCACAGAAAAUGGCUUCAUUGUAUGGAAGGUAUUUCUUCUACAGAAAGCUUUCUGAAUUUCAACAGCACUGAGACAAGGGUUAGCACUUUCCCAGUAGAAACACAGGUCUGCUAAUUCUAACCAAAUAUCCAUAAUGAUCAAAAUGGGGAAAGACAGCACUUUGGAUUAGUAAAUGAAAGCCAUUAUUAAUACCUACAACCUUGUAGUAUGCACUUCCUGGCCAUCCCUAAUGUGAGAAGAGCAGCCCCACUGUGUGUCAGUUAUUAUGAGCAAAAUCAGCACACAUUUACAGUCUUAUAAAUACCACAGAAAGCAUCUGCACCAUUCAAAUAAUGCUUAAAUUAGGGAAUCAGCAAGCCAACUCAUUUUAUUGUAAUGAAAGGGCAGAAGAAAAAAUCUGGAUAGAUCUUUAGAGAGCUUUCAGGGUGAAAGAAAGCCACAGUCUACAGAAAUAAAUAUUCAUGUGGAUUUACAAGCACAAGAUGAAAAUAUUCCUGUACAUUGUAAAUUGGACAAGAAAGUCUAUGCUAUCUGUAUUUUCCCAAUAGGGUUAUAGUAAAUGUUUCGUAUUCAUAUUUUAUUCUUUAUCUGCAACAAAGCUUUAUGAUGUUUUCCACUGGUAGCUGAUGGUAUUUGAAUAUAUGGAAACCAAACUGGUGCAAAAGAAAAGGACAUGCAGAGAAAAAUACUGCAUUGUAAUAUGUGUAUCAUAGUGGUGGAGAAAUAUGGACAUGCAUCAAAACUGUUUCAGUAAAGUAAACAUAAUCCUCCAUGGCUACCCUAAUUUUGCUGUUAUUUUUUGAUUCAGGACUUUCAGAAGGAAGUGUUACAGAAGUAACAAAAACCCCUAUACCUAUUUUGAGAAUGCCUGCUACAUUUCCAACCUUCUAUUUUUAAUGAAAAAUCUCCCCUGUAAUUAUUCUGCCUCUUAUUCAAACAUUUCAGGCUUUGGAUCAAACCAGCAUCAGGUGGCACAGAAAGCAGACUUCUCUCAAUCCAGAAAAGUACUUAGAGAGAACGAGGAACUAAAUUCCUAUGUAAGCACUUCAGAUCUUUUUCAUUUCAGUGAAAUACUCCGAAUCAGAGCUCUGCCCACUGCUUCUGCUAGAUAAAAACCCAUGAAUUGCUACUAAUUUGGAUGGAUAAGUUCUUAAACAGGAAUAAAUUACUCAAACACCUCUGUGGAUGUGAGCCAUGGAGCAGGAUAUGGGGGGGUCUUAGAAAGUUGGUGCAUUGACCAGGAAAGUGUGCAGACCCUUUUGAAUGCAAGGUACCGAUAUGGGAACUGUGUAGCUCCUUGUCUUCUUUCCUGCCACUUUCUUCCCCUACCAGCAGCAAGCCUCCAGCUGCAUGCAGUAGUUCCACAAAAUCUCUCCUGGUGUGUCUGUUUCACGAGCUUCAUAUCCCUUGAUUGACUUCCUAUCAUUUGCACAUUGCUUUCAAGCUCUCUUUCCCAGCACUCCUUCCCACCUGAUCUUUGUUUUUAAAAACAAGAAACCUCCUGUUCACAGACCAUAUGUUGUCUGCGAUCAUUAGCCAGUUCUGGGAGUGCAGCCAGGAAGGCAAUAGUGGGACAAAGAGUGAUGGACUCAUAGGAAAUGUCCUUUUCUCCCAUGCCUGUACACACCCUGGCAGAAGGGAAGCGUCAAUAUCUGAGCUGGAGAGAGAAAGCUAGUAAGGAGGGAGGGAAAAUGAACAGUGUACACAAACUUUGAAGCUGGUAGGAGAGGAAUGUGUUUCAUAUCGGCCUUUUCAGGAACUGACCAUCGUCUUAAUGGUGAGUUCUACUACAAUGGAACGAGUAAUUUCCAGCUCAGACUGUUGAUUUUUCCCAUACCACCUAUUUUCCUGAUGUUAUUUUCCAGACUAUAUUGAAUUCUGAUCCUAUUUUCAUUUCUUCAUUUCCUUUUACUCUCAACAUUACGAUCCUUACAAGCUCUCUGCCUGACCUCUUCACAAAGUCAGGGAGCACAGUCUCCCAUUUUUCUUAGGACUGUUCCUAGCCAGUCAGUUACCAAAAGUGAGCUCACCAAACAUGAACAUUUACAAGAUUGAUACAUUUACAAUAAGGGUAAAAAUGAAUAAUAGGGGGAAAGUAAUUUGAGUUAGAGACAUUUAAAAGGAAGGCAGUUAAAGACAUUUAAUUACUUCUUUAUUGUCUAUAAUAACAUGGUGGCAAUGGUUUCAGCCUAUUUUUCUUGAGCUGAGAGACAGUUUGUUAUGCGCUGUCUCCAUGAAUAUCUCCAGCAUGCAAAUAGAAUGCCUUGUAACUGCAAAAGGCAAUUACUCUUAUAACAUAUGCAUAAUGAAAUCUGACUGCAUUAUCUUUUUGUCCUUAAUAAGAACAGUUUACAUUUUUGUAAUUUGUGAUGCAUCUUUUAAGAUAUGUAUUUGCAUGGCCUUUUUUAGAAAAAAAGAGGGAGGAAAAAAGCAAAGUAAUAUAGCUCAAGUAGCCCCCCAAGCAUAUAUAUAUAUAUAUAUAUCCAGAAUGAAAUGAUAGCAUUGCUAAUUAAACUGAAGACAAGAAGGAAGGAUACUGCUAUACAAAGACAUGCCUUCCUCACUAAAUCAAAGAGGAGACAACUUGAGGAAGGGAGCAGCUUCUGACACUUCAGGCUAGUGACAGCUGACCCCAGAGAGCAGCUGGACAGGCUGAAGCAACGCCCAGCACUUGUGCCUGUUCUUUAACUGAUGGGAUUGCACACCAGAAACAUGGUCUGAGCCUGAGAGCUUCACUGUCCUGGGAGAGUCCAGUGGGUCAGUGCAGUUCCCAACACAGUCAAUGGCUUGCAGAACUAAAUACUAAAAUUUGUAAGUGCACAAACAUAUCUAUCUACCUGAGCUUUCAAUUACUCCUCGUUUUCACAGGAUGAUAGAAAAGACUUCCAUGAUCAUCAAAUCCAACCUGAGACCUAAUAUUACCACUAAACUGUGGCAAUAUUGCCACUUCCACUUGUUUUCUCAACAUUUCCAGGCAUGGUGACUCCACUAUUUCAUCAUGACACACUCUAAUGUUAUGGAGAUUCUUUUACUGUAUAUGGUAAAUAAAUAAGACUGUGAUAUUGUGUUCAGCAGCUCUUGUGUACUGUAGUCCAACAGUGUGGACUUCAGAGAAUCCUAGAAUGAUUUGGGUUGCAAUAUACCUUAGCAAUCAUCUAGUUCCAAACUCCCUGCUGUGAGCAGGGAAACCUUCCACUAAACCAGGCUACUCAGAAAAACCUGGAAAUGAGCAUUUCCAGGAAUGGGGCAUGCACAGCUUCUCUGGGCAAAUAGAUAGUGUCUCACCACCCUUGCAGAAAAUAAAUUCUUCCUUAUAUUACAUCUAAAUCUACCCUCUUUCAGACUAAAACUGCUCAUUGUCCUAUCACUACAGGCCUUGGUAAGAAGUCUCCCACCUGCUUUCUUAUAAGGCCCCUUUAUAUAUUUAAGGGUUGCAAUCAGGUCACCCUAAAGCCUUCUCCAGGCUAAACAAUGCCGACUCUUCCAGCCUGUAUUCAGAGAGGAGCUGUUCCUGUCCUCUGACCAUAUCUGUGGUCCUUCUCUGGACCCACUCCAACAGGUCCAUGUCUUUUUUUAUGCUGGGGACCCCAGAGCUGGAUCCGCCACUUCAGGUGGGAUAUCAGAAGAGCAGAGGGGCAGAAUUGCCUUCUCAACCUGCUGACCACACUGCUUUUUAUGCAGGCUGAGGUCUGAUUGCCUUUCUGGGCUGCAAGCAUCAACUUACAGAACAAGUUCUCAGGGAGUUUAAUGGGAGUGCUGAACAUUCAGACAGGGUAGUUGAUUCAGUUCAACAUGAAUAAUACCUGGGCAUCUCUGAACAGACACGAACAUGUUAGUUGAAAUAAUGCAUUUUUGUUUGGUCAUAAAGAAUUACAGGUAUUCAGAUAACCCAUUUAAUUUAGGUAAUUAACAAAGUGUCUUUAUAUGCUUGGUUUUAAAUAGAUGGAUAGAUGAUGGUUUAGCAAAAAACUUUAAUCCCAGCAGCUAAUGCUCAUUGUUCUACUGAGUCACAUUGAGCUCUGUUUCAGUAUGUCAGAAUGAUGGAAGAUGCAGCCCAUCAAGCUGCCAAAAACAUGAAGUGUGGAAUAUAAAUAGAUGUUUUUAGUGUCACAGGUGCUGCUGAAUUGUCUGGAGACAUAUUAUUCAAAUUUGCAGGUAAUAUUCCAUCCACAGAACACAGUGAUCAUGUUCUCUGUUGUUUCUUGAAAGCACUGUCCUGGAAAUCAUUAACAAAACUAGUUUCUCAUGGGGAAUGGCAAGGUUGUGCAAUCUUAGGUUUCUUCUAAUCCUGCCUAUAUAACCCUCCUGUAACCUACAAGAAGAGUUUAAUGCUAUUAGCUUAUGCUUGCUACAUUGCAUGCUUUUGUUUUUUCUAGUGCUGAGCCCUCUCAGACAGAAGAGAUUAUUUAUUCUGGGUCAUAUACACAUGUAUUUGCACCAUCAUGGUACUUGACUUUGUUCAAGUGUGAUAAAAAUACAUGGGUCGGGAUACUGCAAGCCAAAGAAUAAAUUGUGAAUGCAGCAACAAAAAAAUAUUGCUACUAAGAAAUGACUGUACUCUGUGUUUCUUCAGUUUCCAGGUCCUAAAGUAUCUUCUUCAAAACAUGCUGGCCAUGUGGAAAGGUCUAAUGUAGCUCUGGUCAUUUGUGGAAGAGCUAUCUUCAGGCUGAAUGAGAUUCUGGUUUUUGCAAACACAUCUGCAUUUUUUUGGAAGUCCUCCAUGAAGUGCUGGGAUUGAUGGACUUUUUUCCUCUCCCAGGUUCUUCUCCACUCUAGAAACUAGGCAAUAUACUGUUCAGUUACCCCUGGCCCAGGUUUAAGUCUUCAAUGCUUCUUGAGAAUCAAGAGAAUUCUUGAGAGUUUUAGUAGAGAUCUUAAGUCCAAUGGCUCCCCUUUAAGUUGAUUAAGUAUUGUCAUCCUAAUUGCACAUUGCAUGGAGGAGAUAAGUGAUGCUGAAAAUCAGAACUACUUUGACAUCUAAGUCUGUGACAAAGCACCAGGGUCUCUCAGGACAUUCCAGUCAAUCUUCCUAGCAAUACCUCCUUUCCACCUGGCAUAGCAAAUAAACACUAGCCAGUAAAAAGGAAUAUUAUUUUAUGAAACAUAAUAAACUUUAUCAGAACCUCAGGAUGGUGUCAUAUUGGUCCUGAGUUUUGAGAUUUCAGCUUUCAUCCUGGAAACAUUUUAAUGCAAUUUUUAGAAAAAUAACAGAAAGCAGUCAACAUCCUUAACAGACUUAUGAACAGAUACUGUGCAAGAAGCAGAGCAUGAGACAUGAAUUAAAUAAAAAAGUAACCUUGCUAUUAUUUUUAUUUUGAAACUGCAUAAGAACAUACAGUCUUUUCAUUGCAUUGUAAUUGUUGCAAUUACAGAAUUUUUUAAAAAGUCCUGUAGUAGCAUCUGAAAUCUGAAAGUAGAGCUGCCAGCAAAGAGAGGCCAUGUAUAUUAUUCACAGAGAAUGAAAUCAGAGUAACUAAAUGAUGGAUGGUGGAAAAUGGAUUGCAUUUUUAAAGCUGAUGUUGUAGUAUUAAGUGUUAUUAGUAACAGAGACAAGCAUCUUCUAAAUAAUGCCCUUAGUGACAAGUCCAACUCACACAAGCAGAUGGUUAUGCCCACAUGGAAUGUGACUGCAUUUGGAUUUGCCAGGGUAAAUCUGACUGCGGGACUGGGAGAUAGUUAUCAUGGCAAGCAAUUCAAGCUGUGACAAUUCACCAUUUUUACAUAUUAAAUCCACGUUUUGCUUGUGCCAAAACUUUUUGGUCAUUUUUUAUCAGUGUGUUUUGUGGCAAUUCUUGAAGUCCAUGAGAGCUACUGCAAUCCCAUCAACUGUUCCUACUGAAUAACAUUAAAUCUUAUUUAUAUUGUGACUCUGACAUGGCUGUGUGUGUUAGUAACUUUACACCAGUAGUUCUCAGUCUAAUGUUGCAUAAACUUCUUUUGCAAUAACACUGCCUUGCUGCUACAUAAUCCAAAGGCUCUCAAGUGUUAUAUUAAUAAAUAUAGCCUUUUAUGACAUUCUUUUAAAAGAUAGAUCAUUCCAAGUGGAAUGUUGGUUCAAUGCUUUAACUCUUCAAACACUUUAUUUCUAACAGUCUGACUUUAACCUUCCUCUCACAAAUUGUAGAGGUUAAUUUGUGAGAGAUUGUUGAAAUACGUGGCUUGUCUGUCAUUCCUACAGGUUAGGUGUGACUUAGGUGGCUGCAGUUUGGCCUUUAGUAACCCAGAAUCAUAUAAUCAUAGAAUAUUCUGGGUUGGAAGUGACCCAUCAGGAGCACACAACACUCCGAGAGUUCACACCAUGUGUCUAAGAGCAUUGUCCAAACUCUUCUUGAGCUCUGUCAGGCUUAAGUGCUGUGACCACCUCCCUGGGAAACUUGUUCCAGUGCACAACCAGCCUCUGGGUGAAAACCCUUUUUCUUAUAUCCAACCUAAACCUUCCUUAGCUUCAUGCCAUUAACACACAAAAUAUUUUACAAUUCCUCUGGGAGAGUGUACAGUACAUAUGCUGCACACAUUCUUAAAUGACAAUAAAGACUCUAGAUCAUAUGAUCAUACAAGAGUUCAAGACCUUAAGUUCCCCAGGAGAUUUUGACAAAAAAUGACAAAAGGAGAGAAUAUUGUGUGGAAAUCCUAGAUGCUUUCCUGGGAUCUGUAUGCUGUAAGUGUUACAAUUUCUCAAAAUCAUUUCAUACACAGUUUCUAUAGAAUUCUUCAGGGAUUUAAUUUACCCUGUGGCUAUACAUACUGCUCAUUUAUUUUUCCACAGUUUUCUUUGGAGCGUGCUUUCAAACUUAACACUGAGAUUCAAAAUUAGGCAUUCCAUCUUUCUAGAAGAAGACAAAACCCUUUCCUUUCUUUCCUCACCAGCCCUACACUGUGGCCCAGGGAAACACAGGUAACUUCUCUCUGGCUCAGACUCCAUAACUAGCUGUGAAGCCUGUGGAUAGCUAAAUACUUAUCAAAGUUUGAUCUGUGCGUCCCUAUUUCUAUUCAUGAAGUUGCUCAGGUAUAAUUAGAGGCUUUUCCAUAAUUACAGAGUGGCUUUUUGUCCCCACAGAAUGAGGCACACAGAUGGACACUAUAAUGGAAAUUAGUCAGCAGCCUGUCCAUGAUUGAUGAGUCGGUAAAGUGCCCAGCUCCUACCCUCGCUGGAGUAUAGGUGCUCUUGGACCCAGCCAGCAUGAAAGAGAGCAGACGGCAUUCCAGCCUUCGCAUUAGCAGGUGGUCCUGAGCAAGCAAAUCUCCUGAGUGAAAGAUGGCAACCUUACAUAAUCAGUUUUCAGACCUGAAUUGUUUUUACAGAGAAAAUAUUUCUCAGACAAAGAUGCAGCACUCAACUUCUCCUUUCAGCUUUUCUUUUUGCCUUAGUAACACAGAAAAACUCCAGACAAAUUAACCGGGGACAAAUACAGAGAGAGCAGUCCUGUAUUUACUUGAUUCACAUUAUUAAGCAUAAUUUGAACAUGGGAUCUGGCCACAUUCAUGGUUCAUGAUCAGACUCAGCACACAAUGCUGGAACUCCUAUUAAUUCUCUGAGAAAGCUGUCAGGCUCCAUUUUGAUCUCAUGCCUAAUGAGAAAGGUUUGUCAUGCCCUGUGAAAAAUACUGGGCAAGGCUUACAGGUUUCUAAAAUCUCAUUUUCAUUCCCUUCCUUUCUGACUGUGCUGCGAGGAGCUCAGUUGCCACUGUUCAGAAAUGGAUGAAAGGGAGACAAAGCGAUGCGAGUGUGAGCUGGCUUGAAUCAAUGCCUGCUUCACUGCGGCCAGGAGAUCAGCAUGCAGGAAACACGCUAACACCUGGGAAGUGCAGACUGAGGCACAGCACCCAGGGACGCCAGGACAGAUGAAUUAAUGAACCUGUGCUGGAAACUUCACGUGGGGAUCCUUUUUUGUCAAACAGGUCUUUCGCAGUGGUAAGAAUCUGCUGGGCAAAAUGAGAAGACAAGAAACAAUUCUUCCUUCAAAUGUUGAGGUUUUGCAACUAACUCUGCCAUGAACUGACAGAAUAUUUUGAUCAAAUGCUCUGAAGACAAUAUUCCCAUCAAGUCUGGGACCUGAUACAGAAGAAGUAUCUAAAGGGCUUCUGAGUUCUCUCUUCCCCAAGACCCCCAACUCUUCCCCCCAUAUGUACUGCUGUUGUACAAUUAUCUAACUUAAAAAGAUCUGGAUGACACCAUCUGUCUGUGACUAGCUGCAACUGAAGUCAAGAAAACCUGAACAGCAGCACUCAGAAGUGAGGUUGGCAGCAGGAUGAACACUCACUUUUUGUCUCACAAUGAUUUACAGAGCAAAUUCAUAAACAAGGAUAAUGUCAUCACUCUCCCCUUUAAGUUCAUUCAUUACUGCUAGCACCAAGGAAUGAAUGAAUUUGAAGUCAAAUAGGAAUCAUCUUCAACCUUAGCAAGCUGUUAUAGCUUGACCAUUUCUACAUUUACAACAAGGUAAAAGACUCUGCUCAUGAUGCAUGAUGCACUACAGAAUCCUCUUCCCUCAUUCUUGGUUUUGUAUUGAUUGCAGGAAGAGAAAUCAUCGUAACUGCACAAUAAGUACACAGGACUGAAUAAAUAACAUUGAGUAAGAAAGAGGUAUUUUAACAAAGAAAAGACAAAUUACCAAAGAGUUAUUUCAUGCCACAUCAAUGACAUAUUUUCCUGUGUUUUCAGAUUUGGAGAACAUUAAGACUUUAUUUCUCACAUGUCUGGUCACUGCCAUGAGCCAGAAGUCUUAGGAGAAAUGUUUUUCUUACUCCCAGUGAGUAGGAUGGUAGGUAAAGUACAAGUAGGGUAAGUUUGCUAUAAACAAGGCCUGAAUCAAGUCCUGAAGGUGAGUAAUACAGAAGAGAAAAGAGAGAAAACACAAGUAGAAUUUGAAAGUUUCAUGAUUCAUUGAAUCUUGAAACAUCUAAACCUCUCCAUCUGUCAGUUCCCAUGAGCUACAUACCACGGCUGUUGUCAGUACUUGCAUGGUACAACUCUAAAAGAGAAAGAGCAGUCUAUGUGAUCCUAGGUUUGUCUGGAUCCUGGCCUAGAGCUGCCAGCUCAUUAGAAAUACAACACAAGCAUUAGGGGCAAUUCCAGACAGCAAAGUCCUUCAAAGUCUACAUAAAAGCAAUAGCCUGAAAACUUACUGUGCAAGAGAUAAUAUGCCCUUCAUUGGCCCUUGGAUUAAAUUUUGAACCACUCAAAUCAGUCUUAUAUACACAUUUAUGAUAGUGAAUGUACAGCACUGAGGAAAAAAACCCAGUCCUUUUGUGUUUGUAGACAGCCUUGUGUAACAAAAUCCUGGAUUUUGGCCAGAGUCCUGUGGUGGUACUAAAGUACAGGUAAAGGAGAGUUUGAAAGACACUACUCAGCACAUUUGUAGCAUGACCAAGAGAUGAACUUCAAAAUUUCCAUCUCUCAAAUUUUUAAUCUCUUGUUAUCAGUAACAAAAUAAUUCAACAUUUUUUUUGUGGAAGAAGUAAAAAGGAGGAAUGCAUAAUGGACAAACAGAAAGUACAUUUAGUUUUUAUAAAUAAAAACAUAGAACAGGUUAUAAAACUAAGAGGAUGGAAUUAAUUUAAGGAAGAUUUCACAUUUUUCAGCCUGCAAACUCUGUUUCAAUAUUGCACACCAGUUACAUCUGAUGAGCAGAGCUGAGAAACACAGGACAGACAGCAGCCUAUUUAAUCCCCAGUCACUUGACCCUUUUCCCUACUGGAGUAGUUUUAAUGGCCAAAUUGUAACUAGAAGGAAUGAACUUCAUGGCUUCUGGCUAUCUGCUUGUCUGUUGGUGAAAGUUUCAGCUCAAAUCUAUCACUCAUAUAGAAAAGAAGUACUAUCAGCUGUAUUAAAUCUAAUAUUUCCUAAGGUUUGAAUGCUUGACUUUCUGUCUUCAGUAUCCCCCUCCAUGUAAAUUUUUAUUCUGUGCCAUUACUUACUGUCAAAGUGCUAAAUUUUGACUGACUGGAAAUAUAUUAUAAACAUUAGGUGUCAAUGUCAACGUACAAAGGAACUCUGCAAGGUAACCCUAAAAGAUCUAAAAAAGCCUGUCUGGAUUUGUAACAGUACAAGAAAAACAACAAUUUGAAGUAGCGCAAUUUGUCAGCCAAGUUUCCCUGCCUUAAUCAACAAAAUUAAUUAAUUCCUUAAGCAUAACUGAAAAAUAAGUUUUGAUAUUUCAACUUUUAUUUGAUUGGGAGAUGUAACUACUGCAUACAAUUACUAAUAGUAUUUUCUUGUCUAUCAUUUCAGAGAUGGCCUUUAAGUUGCAAAAAUGUUGAAUGAAAGUUUUCAGAGUGCUGUGGCCUGAUUCUACAAAGCUUCCUAGAUUUCUAGGAAAUUGUAAUUACUCAUCUGAUAAAGAUGUGGAGUAAAACAGCAGAACAUUGCAAAUCUUGAUUUUUUUAUGCAGUCAAUUUGUCUAAUUUUAUUGGAAAUUUUUUGUUUGUAUCUAUCUAUCUAUCUAUCUAUCUAUCUAUCUAUCUAUCUACCUAUCAUCUAUCUCUAUAUGAUGUUUCUAGUCAUGUGUGCUCCUCAAGAUUACUUUUAUAGUCCUUCAGGUUCUUUCAGGUAUAUUCAAAUUUGAUCACUUUUACCUAUUUAAGAUUUCUCUACAUAAUGCUAGAAAUAGUACUUAAAUUUGAACUAAAUGUACCUACAUAGAGCCAACGAUAAGUUCUCAGUUUGGUUUUGGUUUUUGUUUUCCACAGAGAAUGUGUAGCCUAGACACUUCUGAUCAUGUAACACCUCUGUGGAAGCUCCAGCUGCUGCCUAGAUGGGAAAGUAAUGGAAAAAAAAUACAAAGACAUUGUUAGCAGUCUCUAAUGAAGGAGAGGGGAAGCCAGUGUCUUCUGACUAUCCAGCUCUGUCUGCAUCAGCAGCUCUGUUACUGAGAGCACACAAGGUUAAAGGACAGAUGGAUUUUCAAAAGUGCCAAAGGGUGUCAGGAACUGAAAUAUCUAUGAUUUCAAUGGACCAACAUGAUGCUGAGAAGAAACUUUGCAGGUUUGCUGCCCCUGUCUUAUGUCUUGGGAAGUGCUCACCUAGACUGAAAACCCAGCUGCUGAGGAGUUUUCAUGGCAAGAGUGGACACUGUCAGCUGAAGAUGCCAAACUGAGAGAUUCUGCUCCUGCUUGCCACUCAGGUGGAUUAUGAUCCCGAUCUGACAGCACAGUGAAUGGCAUUUCAGUUACAAUGUUCAGCAUGAAUAACAGAAGGGUAAAACAAUUUUCUGAAAUCUCCUCCCACCACACCUCCACCAGCCCAGCUCAAUGGCCAUCUGGAACAUUUGUGACAGAGGAGAGAAAUGCUUGCACUUCAAGGAGCUCAUUCUAAUUCCUCGUUUCACCAAGCUGCCCAGAAAGAGCUGAAAAUCAAUAAAUGAUAGCUCUGUAGUAAGUAUUACCACUUCAGUCUCCAAUUACUUUUAAUAACUUUUAAUAACAGGAGCAUCAAGGAAAUGGUAAAAUCUCUCUAAUAAUUCCCAGGCCUCUGAAAGUGAGAACUUGCUUUUGUGCCUUGAGCCCUAGCACAAUAUGAUUCUAAUUCUGGUCCACAGAAAAGCUCAAUGCUUUGAUAAAUUUCUUUCACACAUUCACUGUGUUAGCUACCACACACACACACCCUAUAACUUAAUUGAUUUAAAAGUUCACUACAAAUUAAGCUGCAGAAAAACAAACUAUCAUGACAGUGUUACACAUUGCUGAGUAGGGAUAAAUGUAAAGCACAAAUAAUACAAGACAGGGAACAGCAAGAGUCAGGGGAGCCACAAUUGAAAUUUGAGUCACUCUGACACGAAUUAAACAAACACCUCACACAGAGUUUCCAAGAGAUGCAUAGUGAUUCUUUCUGUUUCAACUCUUGGAGGCUUCAUUGCCAACUAAUAUUCAAAACUAGCAACUAGCAAAGGGAAUGAAAGGGAGAAGGCAAGGGGGAAUAGAAAGGUUGACUGAACAGGGACUAGUAGAUAGCCAUGAGAAUAACCAGAGGUCCAGAAAACAUGACAUACACAGAAGAUCACACUGAUUUAGCUUGACGAGGAAAAGACUGAGGGACACAACAGUUCUUACUGAAAGGAUAGACUUCAAAGCCAGGAGAGCUGUCUGUAUUGCUUUUUCACAGUGGGCAGGUAAAUAAUUAAAUUUGGAGCAAGGAAAAUCCAGAAGAGACCUCACUGAAACUGCUUAAUGGUAAGGAGAGUGAAGUCUUGGGACAGGUAACCUGGGGAGUUUGUGGUGGCCCUGUGUGAGCUGUGAGCUCUAUUGUUGCAUCAGAGAAAUAUGUGUCAGGAAAGACAAAGGAAGAAAAAAGUUCCUAGAGGUCUCUGACAUUACUGUUCUGCACCUUAUUCCCAUACUGUAAGCAUAAAAGAGAAUAGAGGAAACAUAAUCCAUGAAACUAGUGAAAUUCUUGCUUGUUUGUCUUUUUCUUGAUUAAAGACUUACUGACUGCUUACGAACAGAUAGAGGUAUGACAGAUUGAAUUACAGAUACUGACUUCUACUUCACAAAUACAACUUUCUGGCUGAGAUCUUCAUCCAGAUCUCACCAGAAGUCCUGUCCGCUCAGCUGUGUUUCAUAGGCUAAAAGCAGAUCCAAAGCUGUCUAGUCCUGAGCAUUCUGCUCCUUCUUGCAAAGCUCAAGACACAUUGGCUUGUUUAUGGCUUUGUUUUCUUUGCUAUUUGCCAUUUUAUACUAAUCAGUAAUCUUUACAUUAUUUACUGAUGAUGGAUGGGUGAUCUUUGAACAAAAUCAGUCACACUGAACAUUAAUAUCAUGACAGAGCUACAUAGGUUAUGAUACUUUAUACUGUGUAAAAUGAUGCUCUGAGAAUGGCAAAACUCUCAAGUCAUGAGAAAUCAGAUUUUUCCUAAAGCAUCAGAGUGUUAAGAGCACUUAUUUCAUGAAUUAAGCUCCCUCCCUUUCAUCCACUGGUAAGUUGGCAGAAAAGGUGAACAAAAUACAAAAAAGGCAAUCCCUGGUUUCAUAUGAGUAUCUGAGCCAAUGAAGGUCAUGAGAAAAACCUCUGAGCCUGUACUCAUGAAUGUUCACCUUGCACCUGAGAUAACAUCCUCUUUGGCAGGGCUCAGCUUCACAUGGCCACUCAGUGAGCUCAACAACCAUCAGAGUUUUUUUUGUUUCAGGAUUCUUAUUCAGCAGUGAGAAUUCAAGCCCAUCUGACCAAUGCAACUUGCCUCCUCAAAACACCUAUGAGAAUCCUAUUUAGAAUUCAAUGGAAGCACUGGUUCUGAUGAACUUUGAAUAAGACCCCCAUGCCAACUGUCCUCACAAAACAGGGAACGUGGCUGGGAAAAAGUGCCUUGCCUGUAUUUCUCACUUUGUGAUAAUCUUGCUGGACUUCCUUACGUUCAUUUCUUAGGAGACAAGGUAGUCUGAGACACCCACUAGGCAGAGUGUUUUUACAGCUCAUAGAACCAUGGAUUUCAAUGUAUUAUCACAGAGUAGUCAUCACUUAGGACAAGAUUGGACCAGACAACCAACCCAAAGUAUCCUUGAGCCCUAUAAUAACAACAGAAGUGUAUUUUCAUGGAUUGUUAUAAUACCUCUUGCUGUAAAAUUUACCUUGUAUAUCAUGUGCUGUUUAUCACAUCAACAAAUAUCACUUGUUGUUUGUUUCCUUUUGUUAUUAUUAGUCCAUCAUUCUUAAAAUACUGUAUUUUACUUCUCCAAAGACAGACCUUUCAGAUUUAUCCUUU